rnacentral:lncRNA from 1 species
GUUUUGGUGAUGGUGAUGUGUUUGUACAUCUUAAUUUAUUGAACAUUCUAGCUGCUUACAAUUAUCUCUAUCUAUAAUUAACUUGGCCCAGUAGUUUCAGAGGAGAAGAUUUUUGUAAAAGAUUACUAAGAUUUACGAAAAAAUGGUUAAAACUUGACUAUAAAGGGCAAUAACUCUUAAAGGAGUCAACUGACAAUUUCAGUCAUGUUGACUUAUUUGUA